CAUGGAGGGUGAGAAUCCCGUUCGGUUGACCUCAUGACGUUCUACGAUACGCUUUCUAAGAGUCGAGUUGUUUGGGAUUGCAGCUCAAAAUGGGAGGUAAAUUUCUCCUAAGGCUAAAUAUCGGCGAGAGACCGAUAGCGAACAAGUACCGUGAGGGAAAGAUGAAAAGGACUUUGAAAAGAGAGUUAAACAGUACGUGAAAUUGUUGAAAGGGAAACGAUUGAAGCCAGUCGUACUGACGGGAAAUCAACUUCUCGAGUGCUUGUCGUGAAUGACGUUGAGCCUCACGGCCUUCGUUGCUUGCGUUAUGGUGCUUUUGAGGUGUACUUUUCCGUAUGGUAAGUCAACAUCGAUUUUGGUCGUCAUAAAAUGAUCGGAGGAAUGUGGCUCUGAUCUUGUAUCGGAGUGUUAUAGCCUUUGGUAGAUGUGACGAUUGGGAUCGAGGAUUGCAACGAAUACCCUUUGGGCUAUCCGUCUGAUCUCUGAUAGUUACUCAGGUGCCGAAAGCGUGCUUACGGUAAUCCAAGUUGACGGUCAAUAGGUUAGAACGUGAUUACAUUCGUUAAGGAUGUUGACGUAAUGG
rnacentral:rRNA from 1 species